rnacentral:lncRNA from 1 species
UUUGUCUUAACUCAGUAACAUAGAUAUGUUACUAACUAAACACACCAUUCUUUAGAUUUCACUAGUGUUUCACUAAUGAUUUUGUGUUCCAAAAUGUCAUCUAGGAUACCACGUUACACUCAAUUGGCAUGUCCCCUUAGCUUCCACUGGUCUGUGACAAUUUCUCAGACCUUCCAUGUUUUUGAUUACCUUGACAGUUUUGAGGAGUCCUUGUCAAGUAUUUUGUAGAAUAUUCCUCAGUUUGGGUUUCUGAUACCUUUUUUUUUAUGGUUACACUGGUGUUAGAGGUUUUUUGUAGGAAAACUGCAGAGAUAAAAUGUUAUCAUACGGAUAGUGUAUGCUGUCAACAUGAGUGAUCACUGACAGUGCCAACCUUGAUCACCUGGUCGAGGUGGUGUCCCUCAAAAGCAUGUGUAGCAAGUACCAUGCUGGCUACUUGGUAACUAUUUCUUCUAUAAAUCACUAACCUAUCAAAUUGUACAUAAAAUAAGAUCAGAAUCCUUUUUAUGUGUUUUUUAUUUUAAUGUUGGAAACAAUAGAAGUGCAGAUAGGUUGAAAAUCGUAGCACCCAAAAGAAGAGCCUGAAGCUGAUGCAGUUCAUAGUCCACAUUUUUGGUUUUUGGUGAUUGUUGGAAUAAGACUGAAUCAAUGCCCUUUUCUUUGCUCCCUGGGAUCUACAUUCAGGAUUUUGUCUUCUUUCAUCCUGAGAGUGGUGCCCAACUCUUCUGUACCUCUUAAUCCCUGGUGUUUGGACCCUGAGAUAUGAAAGGACUGAAGGAAAGUUUGCACUUCAUGAGUCAGUCAACCCAGAAGUUAGUCUAUUAAAUCAGCUAACAGAAGGAUUGCCACAGCUGAGAAACUGUCCCAAGUGCUUUACAUGCAUCUAUUCGUUUAAUUGUCACAACAAUCCAGUGAGGUAAGGACUCUUACAGGGAGGACAAUGAGACAGUGAAUGACCUGCCCAAGGCCACACAUCUGGCACAGCACCAGCCCCAGCUAAACUUCUCUGUAAGGAUGGCAUGUGUCUGCUCCUCUUCCCUUGGGAUCAGGGAAGAUAAGUGAAGAAACUGAGUGUCCUUGAUCUCGAGAUACUGUCAGACUAUCAUUGUAUACCUGAAAAAGGAAAUUUAAGAGGACCUCAUCCAGGAUAUCACAUUACAUUUAGUCAUCAAGUGUCUCUAAGACUCGUCUUGGUUACAGCAGUUUCCUCAGACUUUCCUUCCUUUUGCUGACCUUGAUAGUUUUGAGGAGUAUGGAUGACACGUGUGGGCUUAACAGAGAGUGGGUGGCCAAGAAGCUGCAAACAUCCUGCGUUCGGGCAUCUGUUGUCCCAGGCUGCCCAUGCAGAGGUGGAGCCUCAGGUCAGCUGGCGAGUCAUGGAAUGCAGCGCGCCUCUGCAAUUGUUUUCUUCAAGAAAGGAGAGCAGAGAUUUCUCCAUUCUCUUCCCCUCCUCCGUCCUCG